rnacentral:rRNA from 1 species
CCUACGGGAGGCAGCAGUAGGGAAUCUUCCGCAAUGGACGAAAGUCUGACGGAGCAACGCCGCGUGAGUGAUGAAGGCUUUCGGGUCGUAAAACUCUGUUGUUAGGGAAGAACAAGUACGAGAGUAACUGCUCGUACCUUGACGGUACCUAACCAGAAAGCCACGGCUAACUACGUGCCAGCAGCCGCGGUAAUACGUAGGUGGCAAGCGUUAUCCGGAAUUAUUGGGCGUAAAGCGCGCGCAGGCGGUUUCUUAAGUCUGAUGUGAAAGCCCACGGCUCAACCGUGGAGGGUCAUUGGAAACUGGGGAACUUGAGUGCAGAAGAGAAAAGCGGAAUUCCACGUGUAGCGGUGAAAUGCGUAGAGAUGUGGAGGAACACCAGUGGCGAAGGCGGCUUUUUGGUCUGUAACUGACGCUGAGGCGCGAAAGCGUGGGGAGCAACCAGGAUUAGAUACCCUGGUAGUCCACGCCGUAACCGAUGAGUGCUAAGUGUUAGAGGGUUUCCGCCCUUUAGUGCUGCAGCUAACGCAUUAAGCACUCCGCCUGGGGAGUACGGUCGCAAGACUGAAACUCAAAGGAAUUGACGGGGGCCCGCACAAGCGGUGGAGCAUGUGGUUUAAUUCGAAGCAACGCGAAGAACCUUAC